rnacentral:rRNA from 1 species
UACGUAGGGCGCAAGCGUUGCCCGGAAUUAUUGGGCGUAAAGAGCUCGUAGGCGGUCUGUCGCGUCGGCUGUGAAAACCCGGGGCUCAACCCCGGGCCUGCAGUCGAUACGGGCAGACUAGAGUGUGGUAGGGGAGACUGGAAUUCCUGGUGUAGCGGUGGAAUGCGCAGAUAUCAGGAGGAACACCGGUGGCGAAGGCGGGUCUCUGGGCCAUAACUGACGCUGAGGAGCGAAAGCGUGGGGAGCGAACAGG